GCCAGUGUGAUGUAGUGGUUUGAGAUUUGGACUAUGACUCUGGAGACCAGGGUUCGAAUCCCUGCUCAGCCA
rnacentral:tRNA from 1 species